UCACGAAUCUCGUCACGUUGCCGCUGUCGUCCUGGAUCCCGUCGGCGAGGAUCUGCAUCCCGUAGAGCUCCGCCGCGCGCGCGGAGGCGAUCGCAGCCGUGUCGCGCAGGCCGUUCGUCGCGAUGUACUCGGCGGCGCCGGCGGUGUCGUCUACGGCCUCGCGGACCACAUUUAGCCCUAAUUUGGUGAGCGUGUGCUCGCAUUGGGAGAGCGCCUGCGGAUGGCUGAUAACGCGCGUGAGGUACUCCUUCCUCACGCCGGGGAGCGCGAGGAGGCAGUGGUGGACGGGGAGCUGCACCUCGCCGACGAUGUGGAGGCGGUGGCGGAGGAGGAGAUCGUAGUUCCGGUGGAUCGAGCCGCCGAGCGAGUUCUCCACCGGCAGCACCGCGCGGUCGGCGAGCCAGAGCUCCACGGCCUGGAACGCCACCUCGAAUUGGUCGCAGGGGAUCGCCUCGCAGUUAGGGUACGCUUUCCCGGCGGCGGCCUCGCUGUACGCGCCGGGGACGCCCUGGUACGCGACGCGGAGCUGCGCGCCGUGCAUCGGCGCCGGCGAGAAAUCGGCGAUGCUGAGCGGCUUCCGCAGCGGCGCCGGCGACGAGGAUUGGUCCUUGACGGGGACGAGGUCGAGGGUGGGGUGGCCGUUGACACGGAGACGCCGUCGGCGCCGCUCUUCUGGGUGUCCUGCUGCUGCGAUUCCACU
rnacentral:lncRNA from 1 species